rnacentral:rRNA from 1 species
UUAGAAGUUUUAUUCAUGGCUCAGGAUGAACGCUGGCGGCGUGCCUAAUACAUGCAAGUCGAGCGAACGGACGAGAAGCUUGCUUCUCUGAUGUUAGCGGCGGACGGGUGAGUAACACGUGGAUAACCUACCUAUAAGACUGGGAUAACUUCGGGAAACCGGAGCUAAUACCGGAUAAUAUUUUGACCGCAUGGUUCAAAAGUGAAAGACGGUCUUGCUGUCACUUAUAGAUGGAUCCGCGCUGCAUUAGCUAGUUGGUAAGGUAACGGCUUACCAAGGCAACGAUGCAUAGCCGACCUGAGAGGGUGAUCGGCCACACUGGAACUGAGACACGGUCCAGACUCCUACGGGAGGCAGCAGUAGGGAAUCUUCCGCAAUGGGCGAAAGCCUGACGGAGCAACGCCGCGUGAGUGAUGAAGGUCUUCGGAUCGUAAAACUCUGUUAUUAGGGAAGAACAUAUGUGUAAGUAACUGUGCACAUCUUGACGGUACCUAAUCAGAAAGCCACGGCUAACUACGUGCCAGCAGCCGCGGUAAUACGUAGGUGGCAAGCGUUAUCCGGAAUUAUUGGGCGUAAAGCGCGCGUAGGCGGUUUUUUAAGUCUGAUGUGAAAGCCCACGGCUCAACCGUGGAGGGUCAUUGGAAACUGGAAAACUUGAGUGCAGAAGAGGAAAGUGGAAUUCCAUGUGUAGCGGUGAAAUGCGCAGAGAUAUGGAGGAACACCAGUGGCGAAGGCGACUUUCUGGUCUGUAACUGACGCUGAUGUGCGAAAGCGUGGGGAUCAAACAGGAUUAGAUACCCUGGUAGUCCACSCCGUAAACGAUGAGUGCUAAGUGUUAGGGGGUUUCCGCCCCUUAGUGCUGCAGCUAACGCAUUAAGCACUCCGCCUGGGGAG